ACCUGGGUGGCUCAGUCGGUUGAGCAUCUGACUUCAGCUCAGGUCAUGAUCUCUUGGCUCAUGGGUUCGAGCCCUGCUCAGGCU
rnacentral:tRNA from 1 species